CUCCACUUCCAUGUGCAUAUCUGCCCUGUAAGCAGGGGACUGGGACAGACAAUGGUGGUACAGGAGAUGCAGCUGUGCCAGAGUGGGAGGAUGGGAGCUGGGCACAGCAGGGCACCCUUAUACUAGACCACAGGUAAUGACUCUUUGAGUCAGUGAGAGGGGCAGAAGUGAGUGAGACAAAAAUGGAGGUGCAGUCGGGGCUCAUCUCGAACUCCUAAGUGCUUUUUAUUUUUCUGUUUCCUAAGCCAGGGUGAAAUAGAUCUGCUAAAAAGAAGCUGGCGAAAAAGGCAAUGAGCCACAGAGAGAAGCGUAAGAGAUGGAAGGGCUCCAAUAUCAGUGCUCAGCGCUGUAACUUCUGCAUCCUUUACCAUAGACACGUCGCCUGCCAACCCGAAACUUCUCCCCGUGGCUUUUGGUAGGCAGAGAUUUUCUCCCAGCAGAGAAUUCUUUUCUCCAAAUGAGUAGGUAUCAAGCCUCAAACCUCUAAUAUCUCCCAAGAAAUUAGCCUCUUGACUAGUCAUUCCUACUAAGGGCUCUGUCCCUUUCUUCCAUACUUGCCUCAAAAUUAUAGGCAACAACUUCUAAAUGGAAAUACUACAGCUGUUGCCAUUUUCAUAUUAUCCUCACCUAUCAUAGGAAACCUAACAAUUAGCAUUUCCAGCAGGAUUGAAACUGCUAACACAACUUCUCUCUGUCCUACACCAUUAAACUUGAUUAGAAAUCCCUUCACGAUUAACAUUCAUCUCGCUGAAUCGUGCUUGAAGGUUAAUAAUAUCCACCAUCUCCUGAGAGAGGGGGAGGGGAGCGUGUUUAUUAAAUGAAGAGCAGCAGGAGGGCGCCAGGAGAGGCAAUUUUCUCUUCCGUCCACUAGAGGGUGGCUCCGCGGGGCCGGCGGGAGGACGGCGGAGACGCGGAGACAGCAUCCCCCAGCUCGCCUGCACUUUAGAUGUGUUUCAGACUCACACAGACUCCUUGGGGAUGCGGUGAGGAGCUAACCAACUGCACAUGGGAAAUGAGGAUUUUCGUGGUUAGAAAAACUGCAGUGUUUGGUAAUUUUCCACAUGGAGUUGAAGUUAGUGAGUUGUCUGGGCUGCAGAGGAAACUGCUGUAUCGUUAAACCCAAGGCCGACGACAAAAACAGCCGCCCUACCAGCAAAAUAGAUACCCCUCCUCAUUUCAUAAAUCUUGUUUCCAACGAGAAUAAAGCCAGGAACGGACUCUUGCUCACAGCAAUGGCCUGAAACGUCCUGUAUCAGGGUAGUCCGCUCAAAGGGACCCAGGGCACCCCGCAACAAUCUCAGGGCCGGGGAGGUGAUUGUAACCGACAGCCAGGAUCUGGCCCGGCUGCCCUAAUUCCCAGCAACACCCUCCGCAUCACAGCAGAGAAUGGUAGACAAAUAAAAACCUACACCACCAGCCAUCAGCAAGAACCACAAACGCUGCUGUGACUGAUCAAGACUUCAGCUGUCAAGAGUUGGCCAACUUCUCCCUCAUCUUCUCCCCGUCACCUGCCCACCCCCCUUCCCUCACAAAAAGCUUGUUAAUGGUGGAGGGCCCAACAGGAAAUGUUUUUACACUUAGCGCCAAAUGCUAAUCUUUCACUGAAGCCUUCAGUAUAUUUAAAUGUUUAGGUUACCGAGGCAAAAGGGAUUCUAAUAGACAUUACUUAGGGAAUAUGGAGAUUUAACAAUUUGGCUAAGCGUGUAUACAUUUAUUGAAUGUCCUCUUUAAUUAAGGAUUACCUUAAAAAAGCACAUGACAAUUCAAAGAGAAAGGGAAUUAUCAUUUAAGCCAUAACCAGCAUGAAACUUUGUGUUCCUUCAACAGAUGUUUGGGAUGAAGGAGAGGGGUGUAAAUAAAUUCUUAGUAGAUUAUAUAACAUUUCUUAACACAUCUAGAUUCACAUAUUUCUUCAUUUUCACAGAGUCCGCAUUGUAUUGUCUUGAAAUACUUUUUUUGUAGAACUAGAUUUGACAUGCACUUGUGAUACAUCAACCACUACAGAUAUCAAGCCAUUCUAAUCCAAAUAUGGAUAAAAGAUUCUGGUGAAAACUCUGCAUUGUCUUAUUUUGUAAAAAAUGGUUUGAAUUUUUAAGUACAUUAAUUGAAUUAAAUUCAUGGUAUUAGGUAUUUACGAAAAUAAAGACAUAUAUUCAGCAUAUUUAUUAUUUUAGUGAGUACCGGUGGAUUUUUCAGCCCAUGCAUUGUUUUGCAGUUUUCACAGAAUCUCUUAGAGCAACUGAAAAUGAUAUCCUUUCAAGAAAAUUCCGACUUUAUGAAAUUUUUCCAAAGAUGUUUAGAUUUAAUACUUCAAAUACAUUUCCCUUUUGUGACAUUCUUCUCUAGGGCUACCCAUAGUUGUCCCAAACCCAUUUUGAGGUCUCAGCUAAAAAUGUCAAAACCAGAGGUCUUUCCAAGGAGCGGCUGGGAACACGGAGGCCCUUUCUGCACAGCCAGUCUGACAGGCCCCUGGGUCUCCAUCAGGCCGGCCUCAUGUGGAUACACACAGCAGUUCUGCAAACAGAGAAGCAUCUCAUGCCCUUUCCCGGAAACAACACUUCCAGAAAAGAUGCUGACCAAGAAGAAACAGC
rnacentral:lncRNA from 1 species